GAUGAACGCUGGCGGCGUGCCUAAUACAUGCAAGUCGAGCGAACAGACGAGGAGCUUGCUCCUCUGACGUUAGCGGCGGACGGGUGAGUAACACGUGGAUAACCUACCUAUAAGACUGGGAUAACUUCGGGAAACCGGAGCUAAUACCGGAUAAUAUAUUGAACCGCAUGGUUCAAUAGUGAAAGACGGUUUUGCUGUCACUUAUAGAUGGAUCCGCGCCGCAUUAGCUAGUUGGUAAGGUAACGGCUUACCAAGGCAACGAUGCGUAGCCGACCUGAGAGGGGGAUCGGCCACACAGGAACUGAGACACGGUCCAGACUCCGACGGGAGGCAGCAGUAGGGAAUCUUCCGCAAUGGGCGAAAGCCUGACGGAGCAACGCCGCGUGAGUGAUGAAGGUCUUCGGAUCGUAAAACUCUGUUAUUAGGGAAGAACAAAUGUGUAAGUAACUAUGCACGUCUUGACGGUACCUAAUCAGAAAGCCACGGCUAACUACGUG
rnacentral:rRNA from 1 species